rnacentral:lncRNA from 1 species
UUAAGGCGUGUUCUGCUCGAGAAGAGUAGUGACCUUAAGAGAAGACAAAAGUGAGAGUAGUCGUUGCUGCGACAAGAAAGAGACUGUGCGAUUGCACAAGAGUUUACUGCCCUCCAGCGAGUAGAGCGCGUCUUGUGCGCGAGAGUUUGCUACCGUUCGGCGAGUAGAGCGCAUGUUGCGCGCAUGCGGAAAAUAAGCUAAAAAAUAAUUACAAAAGUGACUUAGCUACCCUAAACCCUAC